GACGAACGCUGGCGGCGUGCCUAAUACAUGCAAGUAGAACGCUGAAGGAGGAGCUUGCUUCUCCGGAUGAGUUGCGAACGGGUGAGUAACGCGUAGGUAACCUGCCUGGUAGCGGGGGAUAACUAUUGGAAACGAUAGCUAAUACCGCAUAACAGUAGAUAUUGCAUGAUAUCUGCUUGAAAGGUGCAAUUGCAUCACUACCAGAUGGACCUGCGUUGUAUUAGCUAGUUGGUGGGGUAACGGCUCACCAAGGCGACGAUACAUAGCCGACCUGAGAGGGUGAUCGGCCACACUGGGACUGAGACACGGCCCAGACUCCUACGGGAGGCAGCAGUAGGGAAUCUUCGGCAAUGGACGGAAGUCUGACCGAGCAACGCCGCGUGAGUGAAGAAGGUUUUCGGAUCGUAAAGCUCUGUUGUAAGAGAAGAACGAGUGUGAGAGUGGAAAGUUCACACUGUGACGGUAUCUUACCAGAAAGGGACGGCUAACUACGUGCCAGCAGCCGCGGUAAUACGUAGGUCCCGAGCGUUGUCCGGAUUUACUGGGCGUAAAGCGAGCGCAGGCGGUUAGAUAAGUCUGAAGUUAAAGGCUGUGGCUUAACCAUAGUACGCUUUGGAAACUGUUUAACUUGAGUGCAAGAGGGGAGAGUGGAAUUCCAUGUGUAGCGGUGAAAUGCGUAGAUAUAUGGAGGAACACCGGUGGCGAAAGCGGCUCUCUGGCUUGUAACUGGCGCUGAGGCUCGAAAGCGUGGGGAGCAAACAGG
rnacentral:rRNA from 1 species